GACGAACGCUGGCGGCGUGCCUAAUACAUGCAAGUCGAGCGAGACUCUUCGGAGUCUAGCGGCGGACGGGUGAGUAACACGUGGGCAACCUGCCUGUAAGACUGGGAUAACACCGGGAAACCGGUGCUAAUACCGGAUAAUCCUUUUCUUCUCAUGAGGAAAAGCUGAAAGUCGGUUUCGGCUGACACUUACAGAUGGGCCCGCGGCGCAUUAGCUAGUUGGCGAGGUAACGGCUCACCAAGGCGACGAUGCGUAGCCGACCUGAGAGGGUGACCGGCCACACUGGGACUGAGACACGGCCCAGACUCCUACGGGAGGCAGCAGUAGGGAAUCUUCCACAAUGGACGAAAGUCUGAUGGAGCAACGCCGCGUGAGCGAUGAAGGCCUUCGGGUCGUAAAGCUCUGUUGUUAGGGAAGAACAAGUACCGGAGUAACUGCCGGUACCUUGACGGUACCUAACCAGAAAGCCACGGCUAACUACGUGCCAGCCGCCGCGGUAAAAC
rnacentral:rRNA from 1 species